UACGUAGGGUGCGAGCGUAAUCGGAAUUACUGGGCGUAAAGUGUGCGCAGGCGGCCGAGCAAGUCGAGUGUGAAAGCCCCGAGCUUAACUUGGGAACUGCGCUCGAAACUACUUGGCUAGAGUGUGGCAGAGGGAGGUGGAAUUCCACGUGUAGCGGUGAAAUGCGUAGAGAUGUGGAGGAACACCGAUGGACGAAGGCAGCCUCCUGGGCCAACACUGGACGCUCAUGCACGAAAGCGUGGGGAGCAAACAGGA
rnacentral:rRNA from 1 species